rnacentral:lncRNA from 1 species
GCCCUCCCGAUCCCCGAGCUGCACCAAAUAGCUCUCAGGUUUCUGCUGAUACUGCAGCGUCAAGAAAUGGCUCGAGUUUGCUCCUCGCUCUUAUGCAUUCAGCAGCCCUCUCACUCCUGCCGCACGCGUCCAGCUCUUGUCUCCUCCUGCCUCCAACGCUGCUGCUGCCGGGACGAGCCAAGACCGACUCUGGGGAUGCGGCUGCAGGGCUGCGGCGCUCUGACGUCUCCCCCGCCGCCGCUGCCCAGCGCCCGGCUCCUUUUCCAGCUGUCCUAAGGGAAGAGAGCCAGCGGCUAUCUAGGACUCCUUGAUUUUAUUGACUAACUCAAGCCUUUUGGAAAAGUGUCUCGCAGGCAGCCCUGUAAAGCGAUCUGUGUUAUAAAGAGGGGCGCAAGAGGAGGAGGAGGAGGGUUAAGUUUGCCGCUGCGGUUUUUGUUUUGGUUUGGUUUUUUCGGAUGCUGCUGCAAGGCGACUUGACGCAUUCCGGCACUGGCUCCUACUCCUAAACGGCGCGUCUCACCCGGAGCAGCUUCGUGACAGCAGCUGCGGUGAUGGUCGAGCCGGCGAGAAAAGUGGACGGAUCGAGUUAAAGGCUAAAGGCGACAGCUGGGGAGGGGAAUCCCAGCCUGGGGGUGCACUCCACAGACCUUCAGCCUCCCGGUUUGGGGGACAGGACCCCUCACCUUACCUGCCCUCUGCCCCCCCUAAAGGUACUUCUUCCCUCUUUCUUCACCCUCCCAUCAUCCCUGAUGCCUCUCCCUUCAUCCCGCCUGUCUUUUCCCCUUUUGAGUAUUUCCAUCCUUUAGGCUCCACAUCCACCCCUUCCUCAAGCUCCCCACCCCACCUCAACCCCCCCCUACCCUUGAACCGCCCUGGGUCUUUCUGUGCUCCUCCAUCCUCCUCCUCCUCCCUUUCCCUCACUUCUCCCCUGCCCCUUGGU